AUUUUUUUUAUUUUUUUUUUAAAACGACGACAUAAACAAAAAUGAGCAGGCGAUGGAGAUGGAUUCCCUCCACAUUUUCUAUUGUUUGUAGUCCACACUCCACAAGUAGCAUUUUUAAUUUUCAACAGAAACAAAGGAACUCAAUGAUGAUAAAAUGAAGAAAAUAAUCUCUCAAAAUUUUUGAAAAAACGAAGACAUAAAAAAUUAAAAAAAAAGUACUAGAUGGAGAUGGGUUGGCUCCACUUCAGUAUUCCUUCCACAUUUGACGUUGUAGAAAUGAUAAGAGACAUGGGCCGAUUCAUUGAACUAUGAAAUAAUUCUCCAUUUCCGUCUGCAUAUGUUGACCAUCAUUUGUAAUCAAAACAAUCGCUAUAUCAUGGUUCUUGGAAGUUCUGUCAGUUUCAGGACAAGAAACUGAAGAGAUUUGCCCGUUCAUACUUUUGUGCCUCUUACCAUCAAAGAAAAUAGCAAACACAUAUAAAUCAACUCUAUAAGCAACUGUCAAAACCUCUUAAUAAUGAAACUUACGUAUUUAUUUCCAAAUUCAAUCACAACACAAAAAGACCUAAACACUACUCUAAAAAUUAUCUCCUAACUGAUGAGCAUUUGUCUCUGUUUGAUUCUAAUCUGAUGGUACCUUCCUCAAUUUGACUAUAUUUAAUGUAUGACAUGUUUAGAAUUUAACUUCUGAAUCAUUUUUUGUAGUAAUGUUAUCAGCAAUUAUUAAGCAAAAUAGACCCAGAAUUAUCUUCAGCACCCUCCAAAAAGUAUGUUGCAAUUCUAAAAAAUCACAAGCCAAUGGUUGCGUUGUACAUCAAGCUGCUGUAUGCUUCAGAAAUACAGAUGCUAGCAUUCUAUAAUUGGGAUGGGGAAUAACCUACUCAACAUAGGGGCCAAACCGAAGCCCUCAUCUAACCAGGAGCUGUGAUAUCAUAGACAAGUCAACACAAGCCUGGUUUGUCUUCUUCGUAUGCAACCCCCUCCCAUCGAAAUGCACAUUCUAUUUCCUCGGGUAGAUACCAUAUAAAAGAUGUGUGGAUUCACUAAGAGUUGGGCAGCUUCUCUUUGAACAAGCGUGGAAGCACUUCAUGUGCGCUAAUGUCUAGAGGCUCUGGAUCCCUGCAUAGUGUUUGACCCUUCUCACUGAUACUAGGAAUAAACCAUAAUUUUCGCAAGAAAGGGCACUCCAAUUGUACAAAGAAACCAUCAUGUUGCCCAUGCUUCCAUUUCCUUGAUCCUUGACCUUUCCAUACCUGUGGGUAAGAUAUGAUACUUUUUGGUACAACUAAACAAGCUGCUUUUGAGAAAGUCUCCUCAGCAUACUGUCUAAGAAAUGUGACACAACUGCUGUGUGUAUGGGGCGAUUCAAAGGCCUUAUCAAUAUUGACAACUGGAGCAUAUUUAUCCGUCUCUGUCUUUUCCUUAUCGAGAAGAAAGUAGACCCUAGGAUCAACUUUGGAAGUUUCAUGCCAUGAUUUUACAGCUGCCUCCAUUGUCUCAACAAGGAAAGAGAACAUUUCUUUCCAACAUUCUUCAGAUCCAAUCUUUUCAGACAUUUCAGAUUUCAAUGUAUCCAAGUGCUUCGCCAUGUCAACAUUGUAUCUUUUGCUCUCCACUUCUUCAACUCGUUUUUUCUCUUUUGCCAACUGGGAUAUCCUCUUAAUCUUUCUUGAUACCUCAGUGCUCCGUGGAUUGUACUGUAAAGAUGUUUGGAAAGCAGCCAAGGCAUCCGCAUACCGUUCCAUGGCCUCUAAUACACACCCUUUCCUGAAAUAACCUUUUUCCCAUUGGGGGUUCAAUGUGAUUGUUGUCUCAGCAUCAGCAAGUGCUUUAUUAAGCUUAACCAAUUGCAGAAAUGCAGCAGCACGAUUGCUGGGAAAUAAUUAACAUUAUGCAGUGGAAGACACAAAAGAACAAUACGUUACCUGGCAGAAAUAUCCUCUACAUUUUUUUCACAAGUAGAUAAAAAAGUUGCAAAACCUUUAUUGGUAGCACUAAUGCCAUCAAGCAGAAACAGAGAAAAGUACAUUUCAUGUCUCUAAAAGUUCUGGAACUUAAUGUGGAGAAGCAGAACCACUAAAUUCAGUACAAAAGAAACAAGGUAUCCGCAUCUGUCAUAUCAGUUUCUACCGCAUGGAAAACUGAACUUUCCAUAUCCUCUUGUGACAUGAUAGAGAUGAAUAAACCUCACAGAAAUGACGUUUUGACUCUGUCCUUAAUUCAAAAAUUAAAAUACUUUUGAGGUUGAAGAAGAUAUAAAUAAAGCACAUUUGCUUUGCAUUUUACAGACAGAUAACUUUGAUUCCAAAAUU
rnacentral:misc_RNA from 1 species